AUUCCAGAGCUUACGAGCCUUUAUGACUCAUCGUGAAAGAGACAGUGCUUUGCUUCUAUAAAGCGGAGUAGUCAAAUUUGGUGGUGUACUCCUCGAUGAGAAAUUCAAGGUCACCCUCAUCUGUACAGGGGACUUUAAGGCUAGCUAGUUCUCAAAAACAAAAGGAGGAAGAGGCAGAAGCAGAAGCUGCAGACAAUGAUAAAGAAGAAAAAGAAGAAAAGGAGUAAUUUCAAGCCCACUGAUUCCAGUUUGUACGGCCCAAAUACUCAUGGACAUGGGGCCAUUCUCUGGAGCAUAGCUGACCUACCAGUGGCCACACCCUUAAGGAAAACUGAGUCUCCUUCUACCAGAAGCCAUCGACUCUCAGAAGUGCCUCAGCUGGGGUGAACUCUUGUGAUCCCCUCCACCCACCAUGAUGAAUAUUGGCUGACUUGGUCUUGGGCAGGUCUUGUAUAGGCACCCACAUCAGCUGUGAGCUCAUGAGUGCUGAGAUCCUGAUCUGUCCAGAUGACAGUGUUUUUGUCAAGUCCUCCAUGACCUCUGUCAGGCUCUUACAGCCUUUCUGCCUCUUUUCCUUGAUUGUCCAUGAACCUUGGGGGAACCAACUAUGAUACAGAUCUUCCUCUUGUGGUUGUCAUUUCACCCUUUGAAUCAUCUGAGAGAUACCUUCUUGUGCUAUCCCCUGGGAUAACAAUAUCAGGC
rnacentral:lncRNA from 1 species